UCACUGCAGGUUCACUCCACAUGGAAUCUCUGUACUUUUAUGACAUGUACAGUUGGUUGUAAUGCCAUACUGGGUAUCAUGUAUAACAUCAAAGAGCUAAGUAAGUAUAAAGUGUAUCUGAAAAGUGCCCAUCUCUGAGGUGGACAGAUGCCAGUGGGGACAUCACGUAUCGUGUAACAUAUUUCAGCUCGAGGCUCAGAAAUGUCACAGGAUCCACAGAAUCCUUGAAGAACAGAGAGG
rnacentral:lncRNA from 1 species